GUCACACGCAAGCGCUCCGAGUAUUUCGAUGAAGUGACAUAACUACGCUUAUAAACAAAAACAAAUAAAAACAAAAUGAGGAAAAAACAGGCUUAUCUCAAACAAUUUUGUAAAAUGGGCACAGUGUGACAAUAGAGCCUGCAACCACUGGGUACACCUGUCAUUUUGUACAGAAAUUAAAGUCAUCAGAAGAGGUGCAACAUUUAUGUGCCCAUGCUGUGCUAAAGAAGAGUGAAAAUUGUUCUUAAGAAAAGUGAAAGAAACAUGUUCAAUUGUAUUUAUAAAAUAUUGAAAACAUA